rnacentral:rRNA from 1 species
GCACAAGCGGUGGAGCAUGUGGUUUAAUUCGAUGCAACGCGAAGAACCUUACCUGGCCUUGACAUCCUCUGACACUCCUAGAGAUAGGAAGUUCCCCUUCGGGGGACAGAGUGACAGGUGGUGCAUGGUUGUCGUCAGCUCGUGUCGUGAGAUGUUGGGUUAAGUCCCGCAACGAGCGCAACCCUUGAUCUUAGUUGCCAGCAUUCAGUUGGGCACUCUAAGGUGACUGCCGGUGACAAACCGGAGGAAGGUGGGGAUGACGUCAAAUCAUCAUGCCCCUUAUGACCUGGGCUACACACGUGCUACAAUGGGUGGUACAAAGGGCAGCAAAACCGCGAGGUCGAGCCAAUCCCAUAAAACCACUCUCAGUUCGGAUUGUAGGCUGCAACUCGCCUACAUGAAGCUGGAAUCGCUAGUAAUCGCGGAUCAGCCACGCCACGGUGAAUACGUUCCCGGGC